GGGAGAGAGAGAGAGAGAGAGAGAUAAUAUAAAAGGCAUCAUAAUAUAAAAGUUCUAAAGCAUUUUCUUUGCGUUAUAAGUUACAAGUGCAAAUUUGAAGAAAGAAGAAAUAAAUCCGCAAUAUUUUGAUGUAAAUUUUCUAUUUCAUAUUUAAUGAAUUAUUCUGCGGCGAAUAUUUAUCCUAAAAGUGUCCACGCAUUGAAAAACUAUUAUAUGAAGUUAUCAGAAAAAGGUAGAUAACAUGGACGAGAAGUAUUUGGAUAUUGAUGAACAGAAUCUUUCUGAAAUUGAAAAUAAAAUGGAAAAAGAUGAUGACCUAUUUGGCAUAUCCAACGAAUUAGUCUCCAGACACGGAUAAUGAAGAGAAGAAUAUCUUGAAUAAAUGUAAAAGACAAAAGGGAAGGGGAUUAACACUGAGAUAAGAAAGUGAGCGUGAUGUAGAGGACCAACGCAUCGAAACUGCUGCUGAUGGGACAGUUUCAUAAGAGAUAGCAGGUGGUUCCAAACCCGGAAGAGCACCAAUUCACAUAAUAUCUGUAGGGAAUUAUCAGGUCCGACAGGAUAUGCUAAACGAAAUGUUAAGAAAGGAAAAGUAAAGAUUGCAUUUUCUCUGGUCAUAGACUACCAUAUAAUGAAAAAUAUACGUGCACAGAACGUGCACAGAAGCAGAAGCAUUUAGUUGGGGCCUAAUUUUUUUUUUUUUUUUUUUAUUUAACUAUAAUUAAAUGCAUUUGUUGCUCUGCUGUAUAUUCACGGAGCAUAUAAGGCAAAAGAUUUAGGCAUCUCAUAUUUGUGAGAUGGCCGUGACCAGAAAGUGAAGUUUACACAGUAGCGUAACGAAUAUAAAUGCAAAUAACUGGCCACAAUUGACUCGAGUCGUGGUGAACAACGCAAUAAUCAUUGCUUUUUCAACAAUCGCCAACGCUGCUACGAAUGCAUAAUUAUUGGUAGAAUUCACUGUAGUGGUACCGACAGCUUCUUUCGAAUACCUUGGAAACCAAGAUCGACCGUCGAUUAUACAUAUAGAAAAAAAUCAUCGAAAUCGGAGAGAAGAAUUAUCGCCACAAAUAUUCAUAUCGCCAAAUUCUUCAUCAUGGUAGCAUGACUUUCCUCCAAUAAACCAAUGCUUUACUAGAUGCCAAGCCGCCUCCACGUAGUAUGAAUACUACCUAUAAUUGUGCGUCCGUAAUGACGUAUGCAUUCGUAUUGUUUGACGGCGGCCCUGCAGCGCUUGGAUACAGUAAUAACCUAGCACCAAAGUCCAAAAUUAUUGCGUUUUUUAUUUGUUAGACUGCGAGACUUUUCUGAUUACGAAAAUAUAAGCUUGUAUGGUAGAGUUCUUAGCGUUGCGUCGUGCGGUUUCUUUGAUAACGAACGAAUUGCGAUAAACAAUGAGUGAAAGGGCAAGCAGAGAAACGUGAAGAGGGAUCCCUAUAGUAGACAUCACUGACCUAACAUAUAUCUUAUGGAAUUCCGAAAUAACCGAAAUAUUACAAAUAAAAGAUGAGAAUUAGAUUUGAGUUAGAUCAUGACAUGUAUAGCCAUUGAAUAUAUUAGACAUAUCAUAUUGGAAAAUCUAACAUUUAUAGCCUUCCCGGAUCAUAAAUUUAUUAUAUUUGUUAUUUAUUUCUAAUAAAAACUGGGAAAAUGUUCGAAAGAUAGUUCCGUUUUCUAGAUUUUAUUCCAAAAUUGUCUAUUAAUAUAAUUAAUAUAAAGCACAUAAGAAAUACUCAAAGUAUUGCUUCUGAUGUAAUAUGUAGUAAAUACAAUCCAUGGAACCGAUUGUGACCUAACGUUAAUAACAUAGGCGUACAUUUAUAACCUAGAAUUGUCGAUAUUUCCGGUCAAUGUUCUGUGAAAGUAAGACAUGCGAACGAUGGAUGAUCACGUAUCUUGGAAGAUUAUUUUCCAGGUUAUUUUCUAGGUUUCUAUGCCACUGCACAGUUAUGUUAAACGUAAAUUUGAUGAAUGUCGCCAAUUAUGAACGGAAAGUCAAUAGAGAGCUAAAAUAUUUGCCUGUUGCCGGCUACCUCGCUGCGGCUGGA